rnacentral:rRNA from 1 species
GGCUCAACCGUAGUAAGCUCUUGAAACUGGGAGACUUGAGUGCAGGAGAGGAGAGUGGAAUUCCUAGUGUAGCGGUGAAAUGCGUAGAUAUUAGGAGGAACACCAGUUGCGAAGGCGGCUCUCUGGACUGUAACUGACGCUGAGGCACGAAAGCGUGGGGAGCAAACAGGAUUAGAUACCCUGGUAGUCCACGCUGUAAACGAUG